rnacentral:rRNA from 1 species
UCNCCUCACAUAAUAAUCCAUCUCACCCUUUGUGCAUCACCGCGUGGGCACCCCUUUGGGAUCAUCUCGGAGGGGGCUCGCGUUUUCACACAAAACCCCCCUUUUAAAAGUGUAGAAUGACCUCAUUUAUGCGNUAACCCGCAAUCAAUACAACUUUCAACAACGGAUCUCUUGGCUCUCGCAUCGAUGAAGAACGCAGCGAAAUGCGAUACGUAAUGUGAAUUGCAGAAUUCAGUGAAUCAUCGAAUCUUUGAACGCACCUUGCGCCCCCUGGUAUUCCGAGGGGCACACCCGUUUGAGUGUCGUGAAAACCUCAACCUCCUUGGUUUCUUCUGGAGACCAAAGCAGGCUUGGACUUUGGAGGCCUUUGCUGGCACCUCUCGCCAGCUCCUCUUAAAUGAAUUAGCAGGGUCCUCUUUGCUGAUCCUCGACGUGUGAUAAGAUGUUUCCAUGUCUUGGUUUCUGGCUCUGUCACCUUUGGGACCCGCUUCUAACCGUCUUCAACCUUGCGUUGAGACAACGUUCGAGCAUGUCUCCCUUCUCGGGAAGCUCCCUCGACCCCACGAACCCUUGACCUCAAAUCGGGUGAGACUACCCGCUGAACUUAAGCAUAUCAAUAAGCGGAGGAAAAGAAACUAACAAGGAUUCCCCUAGUAACUGCGAGUGAAGCGGGAAAAGCUCAAAUUUAAAUCUGGCGGUCUUUGNCCGUCCGAGUUG